CUGCUUAAUUCUCUUCGCUCAUAUGAGAGUGGGAAUAACGGUCUCCACCUCAUGGAGAGGCUGUGAGGCUUAAGUGAAGGAAGGCAUAGGAGGAGCUUGACUCAGCUGUCUCCCUUGAUGUAGGCCAGGGCUAUAAUUAGGGUGUUCUUCCAGCUCACUGUUAGAAAUAGACUUUGUCCUUCCAAAAACUUUCAUGUCCAGAGCUCAGACUCCUAAGUGAGAGAUGGCGACUCGGAAUAAUGGGGCCCAGCUGGAGGAGGAAGCGGAGAACACACAUGGAAAUUCAUGUCCAAAGGGUCAUCUGGACAGCAAAAGGUUGACCUGGACUCCCACUGGAGCAACUCGAAGGAACCCUGGGAAACAGAGUGAGCCCAAAGUUCCAGCUGGAAAGAUUGAAUAUAGCCUUUUCCAAACAACCAUCCAAGCACUGACUCAAAGAGCAAAACCAGCUGAAAGAAAUCACCAUUUCCUGCUGUGUAUGCAAUAAAACACCACACAAUAAAGUGGGGUAGAUGACAUCAAAGUAGUCUGUAGAGUCAGGGUUCUUCAUGGAGUCAAAGACAUCCAUCCUUCCAUGAGCUUUCCUGUACUGUGGCCUCAGUUCCCCUGAAUCUGGCCAGCUCCCAGCUAGACGGCACACAUCCAGAAACAGUGUCACAAAUGCUCCAAAAGUUCAUUAUUUUUGUUGAUAAGAAGUGGCUUCCUUCAGAAAAAGAUAAAAUAGCACAAGUUUCUCAGGAAGGUUCUUCACUUGCAUUUCUGUUACAGUUUUUAUCUACAUGUCUCCCUAAAGCCUCAUGGGAUCAUAGCAAUCCCCUUUGGAAGGGGACUGGAUUAGAGGGGUA
rnacentral:lncRNA from 1 species